UACGUAGGUGGCAAGCGUUGUCCGGAUUUACUGGGCGUAAAGAGCGCGCAGGCGGUCGUUCAAGUCGCGUGUGAAAGCCCCCGGCUCAACUGGGGAGGGUCACGCGAUACUGAUCGACUCGAAGGCAGGAGAGGGUAGUGGAAUUCCCGGUGUAGUGGUGAAAUGCGUAGAUAUCGGGAGGAACACCAGUGGCGAAGGCGGCGAUCUGGGUCGAUACUGACGCUGAGGUGCGAAAGCGUGGGGAGCAAACAGG
rnacentral:rRNA from 1 species